rnacentral:lncRNA from 1 species
UUAGAUUAGAUGAACCCUAGGUGAUGCUAGAUGAACGAUUGACUUCUUGACCUUGACGAUUUAUGCGAGUUGGAUGGAUUUCAGUUUAUUAUUGAUUUCGUUUUUGCUCUUGUUCUUGUCUGAUCAAUUUGAAUAAGAUCUUGUUAGAUUUGUGAUUGUCUCAAAAGAGCUUGCAUUUUUAAAACGCCGAAAGUAAUCAACUAGGUUAGUUGUUAACCCCCGGAAGGGAGCAAAUAGACUAGUCUGUCGUGUGAGAAAUUCUCGUUUGUUUUAUCGCGUUGCGGAUUUCAGCUAUUCAUCUCAAAAGAGCGAACUAAGAUACUAGAUAGGUAGUAGAUUAGCAGACCCGAAAUGACAUGAUAUAAUUAGAGAAGAAUACGACGGUAAAUUGAAUUUA